rnacentral:sRNA from 1 species
CGCGGCGUGGCGGGGCCGGGGCGGAGCUGGCGUCGCCCCGGGCAGGAGGGCGGCCGCGGCCGGCAGGACAGGCAGACGGACAGGCUGACAGGCGAGAGAACAGGCACUGCGGGACCGGCAGGAGAAAGGCGAUCCUGUGGCUGGGAAUGUGACCCCACGGCCAGAGGAGGACCCGGUAUCCUCAGGUCGGAGCCCCUGGACAGCAGCCCCAGGCCCAGCUGGCCAUGGCCCUGUGCCUGAAGCAGGUGUUUGCCAAGGACAAGACGUUCCGGCCGCGGAAGCGCUUUGAGCCGGGCACACAGCGCUUUGAGCUGUACAAGAAGGCACAGGCCUCUCUCAAGUCGGGCCUGGACCUGCGCAGUGUGGUGAGGCUGCCACCCGGGGAGAACAUCGACGACUGGAUCGCCGUGCACGUGGUGGACUUCUUCAACCGCAUCAACCUCAUCUACGGCACUAUGGCCGAGCGCUGCAGUGAGACCAGCUGCCCGGUCAUGGCCGGCGGGCCCCGCUACGAGUACCGCUGGCAGGACGAGCGCCAGUACCGGCGGCCGGCCAAGCUCUCUGCGCCGCGCUAUAUGGCGCUGCUCAUGGACUGGAUCGAAGGCCUCAUCAACGACGAAGAGGUCUUUCCCACGCGUGUUGGAGUUCCCUUCCCUAAGAACUUCCAGCAGGUCUGCACCAAGAUCCUGACCCGCCUCUUCCGAGUCUUUGUCCAUGUCUACAUCCACCACUUCGAUAGCAUCCUCAGCAUGGGGGCAGAGGCGCACGUCAACACCUGCUACAAGCACUUCUACUACUUCAUCCGCGAGUUCAGUCUGGUGGACCAGCGGGAGCUGGAGCCACUG